GGCCAGGGGGAAAGAAAAGCUAUAUGAUAUAGCACUUAAUAUGGGCAAGCAGGGAGCUGGAAAGAUUUGCACUCAACUCUGGCC
rfam:HIV-1 isolate C.ZA.2134MB from South Africa, complete genome.